rnacentral:lncRNA from 10 species
CAGAAUACCAUCCUGUUCCAUCUCAAACUGCCUCAUUACAUCUAUUUGUUUCCAGUUGGUGGAAAAGGCUCACCUUCUCAUUGGGCCCCAUUUUCAGGGGUGGGUUGUAGGAACUAGAGUACUGACUAGCCUUGCUUUGCAUUACUCCAUUCAAUGGGUUUGCUGCUGGGUGUGUGGAAGAUCAGCUUCCCACUGGGUCCUGCUUACACCAGGAUGUGAAAUGCUGACUAGCCCAAGGUAAUUGUCACUACUUGAUUCAUUAUCCUUGAUGCUGGGUGAGGGUGGAGACUAAUCUUCCCACUGGAUCCUGCUGACACUGUCCUGAUUGAGUAGUAAUACCACUGUAUGAUUCCAGCAGUUGUGGGGAGAUUAGCUCCCUGCUCAGCCUCUCUGAUACAACUGGGCAGCUAGUUUUUGCUUCUGCAACAAGACAUAGGUUUAUGAUGAGCUUCCUGUUCAUCUCUGCUGAAACUAGGGAAAGUGGUUCUAGGUUGGAGGCGUUAGCAGCAUUUUGGCUGGGGUAUAUGGGAGGCAAUAUGGAAACCAUCAAACUUGUUCUCACGUCAUUCUGCAAGUCCUGGUGUCCUGAGGUGUGCUGAAGCCCUAUCCCCAAGAUGACUAUAUUUGGAGACAGGAUUUUUGGAGGAAUAUUUCAUCUUUUGGUUUAGAAAUUCAAAGCAUUCAAGUUUAUUAAGGACACAUGCACCUGUCUGUUCAUCACAGUGCUAUUCACAAUAGCCAAAACAUGGAAACAACCUAAGUGCCCAUCAACAGUGGAUUGGAUAAAGAACAUGUGAUACAUAUACACAAAAUCAUGUCUUUUACAGCAACAUGGAUACAGCUGGAGGCCUUAACUAAUUGAAUUAAUGCAGAAACAGAAAACCCAGAUACUUUUGGUGUCACUUAUAGGUUAGAGCUAACAUGCAGUACACAUAAACAUAAAGAUGAGACAAUAGGCAUGAGGAGUACUACAGCAGAGAGAGAGGGAUGGGGCCAAGGGCUGAAGAACUACCUAUUGGGUACUAUGCUGAAUACCAGGGAAACUGAUUCAGUCAUAUCCAAAACCUCAGCACCAUGCAAUAUACCUCUGUAAUAAUCCUUCACAUGUAACCCCUGAUUCUAAAAUAAAAGUUGAAAAAACAAAUAAAAAGAAACACUUGAGUUAAGAUAAGGGGAGUUGUAGAAGCCAAGGUUCUUGUUAAGAGGAUGAAGCCUCCAAGUAGCAGGCUGCAGAGAGAGUAGUUGGUAAAUCUCUCUCUUCCG